rnacentral:misc_RNA from 1 species
AAACCAUGUACUUCUUGGCCGAAGUAAGUUUCCAACUCCUAACUUUCAACUUUGAAGGAUGGAUGUGCAAGUCUCUUCAAAGGAAUUUAGUUCUUCUGCAACUUGUAUAUCAUAAUAACAUGUAGCUUACAUAAAGUGCUAGAUGAUGGUUUGGUGAAAUAGCAUCAAGGGGCUUGGUGGUGAGCUUUUUGAGUUUAGCUUGAAAUCCUGGACUAAUGAGCUGUUCACCUAAUGUAAAAGCCUCUUACCAUCAUUGGGGUUAUUAUUAUUGACCAUAUAAUCCCGUUUCUGACUACCCUUCAUGUUUAUUGAACUGGUAUGAUACAGAUGUUUAUAGGAUAGGUUGGACCUUUUGUAUGAUCUCAGCUUUUGCAAUGGGAUGAGUGAAAUGGAUGCUGUCCUUAGGGCCCCACUAUUGCCGGUUAGGUUCUUGACAGAUUUAUAAAGUCCUCAAACUCAGACAGACUGACAGAUUCGUGAAAUCUUGCUGCAUUUCCAAAAAGUGAUACUGUCAAAUUUAGAGACUCAAAAGCUUUAAUUACCAGUUCUCAUGGUCAAAACAAGAAAAUAAAUUUAGCAACAGGAGUUUUACUCAUUCAAAGAAUAAAUCAAGCCAAGUCCUUAUCCCUCUUUUAUGGAUAGAAAGUUCGCCAUCUUGAUACAUUGAGAAUACACCAGGUAGUACUUUGAUCCUUAAAUGUUUUGUAUUCCUAAUCCUUCUUAAAUGUAUGGAGUUUUCAUUAUUAAAGGAGAAAAUGUGGCAGCUUCUAUGAAAUCAGCACAGAAGGGAGAUAGCAUUAGGUAUAAAGUCAGAAUUUUGCGAAUAGUAGGAUGCCUCAUUAUCCCUUCAUACUCUACACUGCAUAUUUGGACACUUGGAACACGAUUGUAAAUGUCUUGUUUACCUCUUGCAGGCAACACAUCCCUUCAUUGCAGAA